UACGGGAGGCAGCAGUAGGGAAUCUUCCACAAUGGACGCAAGUCUGAUGGAGCAACGCCGCGUGAGUGAAGAAGGUUUUCGGAUCGUAAAGCUCUGUUGUUGGUGAAGAAGGAUAGAGGUAGUAACUGGCCUUUGUUUGACGGUAAUCAACCAGAAAGUCACGGCUAACUACGUGCCAGCAGCCGCGGUAAUACGUAGGUGGCAAGC
rnacentral:rRNA from 1 species